CGGAGAGGAAGCAUUGCUGCGGAAAUGUAACGCCCGUAAAAUACACCCAGUUAAAUCACCCGCUAAAAAAAAUACUCUCCAAAAUUUUUUUUCCGACCGCCGAGCUCCGUCAAAUCCUUUCCCUUCCGUCGGACCCGCCGUCCUGGCCUUGGCCCGUCAAUUCUCCAUUUUCCACUCCCCGUAUUUUUCGCCGCGUGCCCGUCAAAUCCGUCAUCGCGCGCACACGAAUCCCGCAAUUUCCGCCAUCUUUUUCCCCUCCCUUCCCUCUCUUUCUCUUCCUUCUUUCUUUUUCUUCCUCUUUCUUUCCCUUCUCCUUUUUCCUUCUCUUUCUUCCUCCUCUCCCUCUCUUCUCUCUCUUCUUUCAUUUCCCUGGCACCCCACCUGCCCCUUGCGCCAGGCGCCGGGCGCCCCCUCCCACGCGGCACGCGCGCCGAGGCGCGCACGCGCGCUGGGCAGCGCCGCGUCGGGCCGCGCGCCCGCGCGCCCGCGCCGCUGCGCCGCCGCCCCGCGCCGCGCCGCCCGCGCCCGCACCGCGUCACGUCGCCCGUGCCGCGCCCGCUCGCGCCUUGGCGUUUAGCGCUUGGCUCGGUGUGUCGCGUCGUGUCGCCGGUCACCGGUCGCCGCCCCUGUGGCCUCGUCGACCACGCUGCCACGCCAUCCACGAGCUCCACCACUCCGGCACGCCACCGGCCAAAAGUCCGGCCGCCAUCAUUACCUCGGCCCUCGCCCGCCCGCGCGCCGCCUAUAAAAGGAGGGAGCCGAGCCUUCACCUCCACACCCUCACCACGAGCACCUUGCCUUCCUCCACUCCCACCACCGGAACGCCGACGGCCAUUUCUUCUUUCAAGCUCCUGUUGCCUCCAGGAAGAAGAAGGGGUAAAUCCCUCUCCUCGCGAUCCAACCCACCAAUUUUCCUAAUUCGCGAACAAGUCCUUCCACCAUUCCAAAAAUAAUUACAGUUAGGCCCCUGCUCUCGCGGUUCAGUCCUAAACCCCGUUUUAAAGCCCCUAAUACUCCUUUAACCCGUCAUUUCAUGUGCCAAGCUUCCUCCGAUUAACCCCAAACUCGACCACGACCUCCUCUCAUAUAUUUCCGCCGAGGCAUAUCAAAAUCCCACGAAAAUACCCUUCCUACCUAUUUUCCGUUCAUGUUUCCUGUUCGGAGCUCAUCGGGUAAAACCCUUUUUCCUUUUUAUUUAUUGUGUGCUCGUUUGUGUGUGCCGUAGAUCGCGGAGUACCCGAGGAGGAGCGCGAGGAGGAGUUCGACCGCGAGCCCGAGCCCGAGGACCAGUACCGCGAGCAGGAGCUCCCGGAAGGCUUUGAGAACGGCAAGUCCAAUCUCACCCUUUGAUGCAUAUUUAAUACCCAGUUUUUCAGACACCACCUAUUGGCCUGUUUUAUAACAUGCAUAUUGUUUUACCGCAAGACAUGGUUGGAUAGCCACCCCUUGAUUGUUAUGACUAUUCCUUGAUUGUCCCAUAUUUAUCUCUAAAUAUGAGUUGCUCUGUUUAGAUGAUAAAUACUGCUAGAACGCUUAGGAACUCAUUAUCCAAACUCAACUUGACUACACUUGAUUACUCGAAAAGUAAUGUGUGAGUAUGUUUAACUGAGGAGUUGGGUUUUCGGGUGUUAAGAGAGGUGGUGGAUGAGAUGGAUGGGUGUUUCUUGUGUGGGACGCCGGGUUGAUAGGCUCGUACCUCAGUGGUUGAGCAGUGUGGGAGAUAUCCAUCUUGUCAUGACUAAGGACCGAGUUGAUGUGUCAUCCUGCCUAAUUCCAUCAUUGUACAACCACUCGACCGUUGUAUGGGCAACGGCUUAGCAUAAAUCCCACUAGCUAAACUGCUAGGCUUCAGGUGUGCUGGUGAGCAACGGGAGGCCUUGGAAAAGGACUAAGCUCUUGGUGACUUAGGUCCCGGUUACGGCCCCGUGGAUGGGUUGCUAACCCCUUGAGCGCUCUUGCGUUGACUGGUCAGUGUUGGCUAAGGUGGGUAAUGGCUUUGUUAGGAUCCGUACCGACACUAAGGUGAUCGCGAUACGGUACCCUACUUGUGGGAAAAGUGUACAACCUCUGCAGAGUUAAAACCUAUCCGGGUAGCCGUGUCCACGGCAUUGGACGAGUUACGGCUCGGUCACACAACUAGCUUCUGAGGAUGACUGGUAUUUUACUGCGUGUGUGGGUGCGUGGAAUUUUGGAAGUGUCCGGCAGAUGUGCCGUGCGCUACGGCGGACGGGGAGUCCGGUAGCGAUAAAACUUUGAUCCUUUGUGUAGGAUCAACCCCACUUGAUAUAUUGUUUAAUAAAAUGUUUUCAUGAAACUUCUUUGAAAUGGAACCCUGCAUGUGUCUAAAAUUUAGCUUUACUGCAAAUAAACCAUAGCUUAUGCCUUGUUUAUUCUUGUGCAUACUCUGUUGUAUCCCCCUCCGUGGAUGGGGUUGGACUUGCUGAGUACUUUUGUACUCACCCUUGUGUUGUUACUUCAGAGGAGGAUCCGGACUUCGUCGCCGAGGACUUCGAGUAGGAGGUUGCGUCUGCACCCAACGCUGCCUGCGAUGUUGGCCCUUUUGCAGGAUGCUUCCGCUGACGCUUAGCUCCGAUUGCAGCCCGGAGUCCGACUGGACUGCAACUUGGAUUUGUGUUGUUAUCGCUUUAGUCUUGCUUUGGGUGUGGCUUGCCCGCCCGCUCCUUCGGGAGCUGUACGGUUUCUGAACUAUCUGUUGAAUAAAUAUGUUAUCAGUCUCCUGGGACUGAUAAUUUGGAUCACAUUUAGUCUCUACUUAUGUGGGGACGCUUCAGGAAACUGGGCGGCAGGACGGGCACGGCCGCGGUUCCUCUUCUUCUCGCCCCCCUGCGCGCCACAUCCGCCUGUGAGGAGCUCCGGCCGGCGCAGUCCGGCGGCGAGGAGCUCCAUGGCGAGGUCUAGCAGCCCGGCGAGGUUGGGGACCGGUGCUGGCGGUUGGGAUCCAUAAACGCGUCCUGAAGAAAUCAGAUGCUCGCCCAACGCGCUAGGGAUGUUUCUUCGUUUCUCGGUUCGAGCGUCGACGCCGUUUGGCACCUGAGAAAGGAUUUCUCCGAUUCUUC
rnacentral:lncRNA from 1 species